GUAAGAAACAAGUGUUCAUCUUCUACUGAAUGAUGUUUAGAAAGACCAGAAUAUCUUCUAAUACACACUAUGGGACCUUCAAAUUGGGUGAUAUGAGAAGAGCCUGAUAAAGAGGUGGGCAAGAUUUAGGGAGACAAACCGUGCAGUAUCCUGAUGGUAGCAAUUGUGGGAAACCCUGGUGCAACCUCUGGACAGGAGAUGUCUGCUGUGCCAUAUGUGGGUUAGCUCCCUGGCCUGCCAUUGAACACAGGCUACAGUGGUGAUAGC